GUUCCGCUAGCUCAGUUGGUUUAGAGCGCCGCCUUGACAGGGCGGAGGUCACUGGUUCGAACGCAUUGCGGAACA
rnacentral:tRNA from 1 species